rnacentral:lncRNA from 1 species
UUUUAUAUAUAUAUAUAUAUAUAUAUAUAUAGUAGGGCUGUUGUGCUCUCAGGAGUACGGAGGUCUCCGUAUUUUUGAGCCGUUUUCGAUGAUAGAAUUUUCGAAUCGAUGAUCAGCUCCGUAAGACUUGAUCUAGCGUAUUUGAAGUUUCUAGAAAAUAAUUUUUGUGAUUUUUUGAUAUCAUUUACCUAGCAAUCGAAAAGAUUCAAAAUCAAUAAUUUUUAAUAGCUGAAAAUAAGAAUUCUAUAAAAAGUGAUGAUAUAGCACUAAAAUUUUCGAUCAGAAAUAUUGAACUUGUUGUACAUAGUAUAAAAAAUUUUGUAUCAAAAUUUCAUCUGAUUUGAAUACUUCUACACCGUUAAAUUUAAAAACUGCAUAUAUCAACCAUUAAAAAUUAUUAAUUUUGAAUAAUUUCGAUCAUUAAGCAAAUGAUAUCAAAAAAUCGCAAAAAUUAUUUUCUAGAGACUUCAAAUAUCCUAGAUCAAGUCUAACGGAACCGAUCGUCGAUCCGAAUUUUAAAUUUUAAAUUUGUUAUUUUAUAACUUUGAAAUUUAAAUUUGAUCUGAAAUUUAAAAUUUUGAUAUUUAAAAUUAAAUUUUAAAAAUUUAAUAUCUAAUUUUAAAAUUUAAAAGUUAAAAUUUUAAUUUUAAAAUUCAAUUAUAGGAAUAAUAUUAUUAUUUUCCAUUUAUAACUACCAACUAUUCUUCUUAUUCUCAAAAACCAUCCAAACACAAUUUUUCUAGUUCCAGCUUAUACUCAUAAUUUUAUCCAAACAAAAAAGAUAUCCUUGUUCCUAUAAAAUCCAUACUUGUUCCUAUUUCCGAUAUAACUAGUUCCUACUAAUUCCCGAUCCAAACGGAUAGGGAUAGGGAUAGGCCCCUAUCCCCCUUUAUACCCAAACGCUAAUUUUUUAUCCGAGAAUAGUAGUUCUCGGUUAUCUCCACCAACACUUUCAUUUUCUAUAUAAAACUACUUAAUAUUUUUCUUAUCUCCGGAAAUAACCUAAUUUUUAUCCAAACGUUAUUUUUUCUUAUCCCUAUACUUGUACUUAUCCUGUAAUAGCUAAUUCUUGAUUAUACCCGAACCAAAUGGUACAAGUUUUCUCUUAUUUUUUAUUUUUUAUUUUUUGAAUUAUUGGAGAUGGCAGUUGGUAUGGAAUCUGUGGCACCAGUGAAAGUGGGGUAGGAAACUAAAAAAAAGGUCAAAAUAAUAAUAAUAAUAAUAAUAAUAAUAAUAAAGUAGAGAGGAAAAGAAGAUGUUAGGUAGGGAUUAUGUU